rnacentral:rRNA from 1 species
AGAGUUUGAUCCUGGCUCAGAACGAACGCUGGCGGCGUGCUUAACACAUGCAAGUCGUACGAGAAACCGGAACUUCGGUUCUGGGAGUAGAGUGGCGCACGGGUGAGUAACGCGUAGGUAAUCUACCCUUGGGUUUGGAAUAACCCGCCGAAAGGCGGGCUAAUACCGGAUAAAAUCUUUCGGAGGGAUCCGAAAGAUCAAAGGUGGCCUCUCCAUGGAUGCUACUGCCUGAGGACGAGCCUGCGUCCCAUUAGCUUGUUGGUUGGGUAAUGGCCUACCAAGGCUACGAUGGGUAGCUGGUCUGAGAGGAUGAUCAGUCACACUGGAACUGGAACACGGUCCAGACUCCUAUGGGAGGCAGCAGUGAGGAAUAUUGCGCAAUGGGGGAAACCCUGACGCAGCGACGCCGCGUGGGUGAAGAAGGCCUUCGGGUCGUAAAGCCUUGUCUAGAGGGAAGAACUUCUCAACGGAACAAUACCCGUUGAGAUUGACGGUACCUCUGGAGGAAGCACCGGCUAACUCCGUGCCAGCAGCCGCGGUAAUACGGAGGGUGCGAGCGUUGUUCGGAAUUACUGGGCGUAAAGCGGGUGUAGGCGGUUUGUUAAGUCAGAUGUGAAAGCCCACGGCUCAACCGUGGAAGUGCAUCUGAAACUGGCAGACUUGAGUACCGGAGAGGGAAGUGGAAUUCCUGGUGUAGGGGUGAAAUCCGUAGAUAUCAGGAGGAACACCGGUGGCGAAGGCGACUUCCUGGACGGAUACUGACGCUGAGAUCCGAAAGCGUGGGGAGCAAACAGGAUUAGAUACCCUGGUAGUCCACGCCCUAAACGAUGGGCACUAGUGGCAGGGGGUGUUGACCCCUCCUGUGCCGCAGCUAACGCAUUAAGUGCCCCGCCUGGGGAGUACGGCCGCAAGGGUGAAACUCAAAUGAAUUGACGG